UCUGAGGCCUCCCCAGCCCUACAGAACGAGUUCAUGUUAUACUGGUGAUUCUUUCGUCUGUCUCAGAGAUGACAGCCUGCUAUACACCUUGUUGACCAAAAGCAACAUCAGGAUGAAGGCCCUGAUACACAGUGUUUGACUCUCUUGUCCUCUGACUUCUGCCACACACAAGGACACAGCGUUCAUCCCACUAAGAAGAAGAUGAAAAAGGGGAUAGCAUGCAGCCACAAGGAACAAUCUCAAAAGCAGAGAGAAGCCCUCACCAGACAACCAC
rnacentral:lncRNA from 1 species